CUCCAGCCGUUCCAUGUAUUUGAACUAUUCCAGAGCUAGAACACCUGAUUCAACUUGUCAACCAAUCAUCAAGCCCUUGACUAUUUGAAUCAAGUGUGCUAGGUCAGGGCUGCAACAAGAGGUCCUAGAGGAGAGGUUUGGAACACCUAGAGGAGAGGUUUGAAACACCUAGAGGUCCUAGAAAGGUUUGAAACACCUAGAGGUCCUAGAAAGGUUUGAAACACCUAGAGGUCCUGGAGAGGUUUGAAACACCUAGAGGUCCUGGAGAGGUUUGAAACACCUAGAGGUCCUGGAGAGGUUUGAAACACCUAGAGGUUGUGGAGAGGUUUAUAACACCUAGAGGUUGUAGAGGAGAGGUUUACAACACCUAGAGGUCAUAGAUGAGAGGUUUACAACACCUAGAGGUUGUAGAGGAGAGGUUUAUAACACCUAGAGGUUGUAGAAGACAGGUUUGAAACACCUAGAGGUCAUAGAUGAGAGAUUUGAAAAAGGAAAACAUAUAGCCAACAGCUCUUUAUCGGUCAGGCCUGGAAUAUAAAAAUGGAACCUCUACACCCAGUAUGCCAUUAUUGACUUGAAUUGGGAGGUCCGUUCUAUGGCAUAGAGUUUAUCCUGCAGGUUACAGAGGGGUCAGGAAAAACUCCUGGACCUACCCUUCAGAAACCCUCUGGGGGACAUGGGCUUUGAAGACUCUGGCAGCGCCUGAAACGGCUCCCUAUAUAGGGCACUACUAUAGACCAGAGCCCUAUGGCACCCUAUUCCCUAUAUAGGGCACUACUAUAGACCAGAGCCCUAUGGCACCCUAUUCCCUAUAUAUAGUGAACUACUUUAGACCAGGGCCCUAUGGAACCCUAUUCCCUAUUAUAGUGCACUACUUUCCAAAUCAACCAAAGUGUAUUGGUUGCUUGCACAGAUUUGGAAGUGUUAUAGCAGGUGCAGCAAAAUGCUUAUGUUACUAGUUCCAACAGUCUGAAACCCUAUUCCAAUAGGUCCCUACGGCCCUGGUCUGAAACCCUAUUCAAAUAGGUCCCUACGGCCCUGGUCUGAAACCCUAUUCAAAUAGGUCCCUACGGCCCUGGUCUGAAACCGUAUUCCAAUAGGUCCCUACGGCCCUGGUCUGAAACCCUAUUCAAAUAGGUCACUACGGCCCAGGUCCGAAACCCUAUUCAAACAGGUCCCUACGGCCCUGGUCUAAAGUAGUGCACUGGGGCCCUGGUCUGAAACCCUAUUCCAAUAGGUCCCUACAGCCCUGGUCUAAAGUAGUGCACUGGGGCACUGUGUAGUGAACGGGUUGCCAUUUCGGUUUGACCAGUUUAAAAAAGUGGUACACUAUAUAUUUAAGGGAAUGACGUAGUGGCCUAUGUAGGGAAGAGUGUGACGUUUUGGACACAGCGUGUAUGUGAUACGGGCAACACAGAGGCACCUUUUAUUUUUGUUGAAUGUGACACAGUCCUUCCAAUAUGGCACCCUACCCCUACAUCCUAUAGUAUUCCACGUAAAUAAAUAUUAUCCUAGAAAUCAGAUUUUGUAAACUAUAUCCCUGGAACCAUAUUCACAGAGUAGGAGUUUUGAUCUAGGACCAGGUCCCCCGUCCAUUUAAUCUGAUUCAUUAAACUGAUCCCUGAUCAACAGAGGUGUUGAUCUAGGACCAAGUCCCCCGUCCAUUUAAUCUGAUUCAUUAAACUGAUCCCGGAUCAACAGAGGUGUUGAUCUAGGACCAGGUCCCUGUCCAUUUCAUCUGAUUCAUUCAAGGCUGAACUGAUCCUAGAUCAGUAGGAGUGUUGAUCUAGGACCAGGUCCCUGUCCAUUUCAUCUGAUUCAUUAAACUGAUCCUAGAUCAGUAGGAUUGUUGAUCUAGGAACAGGUCCUUGUCCAUUUAAUCUGAUUCAUUAAAGGUGGACCUGAUCCUAGAUCAGAUCUGAAACUCAGUUAGUGUAAACCCUUAUCUUGAACAAGAGAUGCUGAACUUUGAUGUGACUUCCCCAGGCUAAAUAAGUGUGCAAACCAAAUACCACCCUAUUGCCUAUAGGGGCUCAGGUCUAAAGUAGUGCACUACAUAGGGAAUAGAGUGCAUAAAGUUCAAUCAAACAGGUUUUAAAAAGACAAAGCUUUUUGUGGUGGUGAUAUGGCCUAGUGUCCCAAUACGCACACUACUUAGUAUGCAUGGCCAACACUUUGCUUCACACUACCUAGUGCAUCAGGUUGGGUAUUGGGACAGAGGUCAGUCAUCAGGUAUGUUACUGGGAAAGAGAGGUCAGUAAUCAGGUUGGGUAUUGGGCCAGAGGUCAGUCAUCAGGUAUGUUACUGGGAAAGAGAGGUCAGUCAUCAGGUUGGGUAUUGGGACAGAGAGGUCAGUCAUCAGGUUGGGUAUUGGGACAGAGAGGUCAGUCAUCAGGUUGGGUAUUGGGACAGAGGUCAGUCAUCAGGUUGGGUAUUGGGACAG
ensembl:lncRNA